AGAUAAUGUAUCUUGGUGCAGCCUCCAACAACCUUGCAUCAACCACCCUGGCUUUCUUCCUAGAAUCUGUUGAGAAGUUUGGUUUUCCUCUCAGGGUUCGUGCUGAUCAGGGAGUGGAAAAUGUUGACGUUGCACGCAGCAUGUUUACAGUCCGUGGCCCUGGGAAGAGCAGCUUUAUAUCCGGGAAGAGUGUUCACAACCAAAGGAUGACCUAGGUACUUUUCGUGAUGGUUGGGACAAUCAUCCGCUGAGGACAGAAAGCAACAUGACCCC